AAUUUGGCAGCACCGGGACACAGCAGCAGAGCGGUAAGCUUCAUAUCACUCUAAAAUGUCGACAAACUUUACUUUAGAUUUACGGGCAUUAGCAGCACUAAAGCGUUAGCAUCCGGCUUGCUAUCGCUAGCACAGUAUGCUAGUAAAGUUAGCACCCAGAUUAAUGUGGAUUUGGCUGAUUUUCGUGGAAUAAAACGUGAUUUCUGAUCAACGCCUUCUUUUACACCAGAUGAUAACCUCCCACUGAUUGUAACAGCAGAGAGCCUGUGUGUUAUUCUACAUGAGUGUGAUGUAAUCUUAGCAUCCAGUAAAUAAAGUCCCAUAUCAGCUAAAAUGCAGCGUGACAAAGUCAUUAAAGUGCGUCAACACAGUGGAUUUAAUAGAGUUUUAAAGAACGAUCUCUAAGUGAAGUGAGGUUAGUUUUUUGUCUCACUGCAGAUAUAAAAACUAACUCUGCAUCAGUCAGACGCAGCAAAGCUCACCGUCUGUAUGAGCGUGAGCGUCGGAAAGCUGAUAAAAUUGGCUGUAAAAUAAUUAAAACAAAGUAAAAAUGUUCCUUUGCUUUUUAGAGUCAACAUCCAGAAGUCUGGAGCCGUGUUUCACUGACAGGCUGUCAGACCAACGCCCUGAUGAGCUCAGCUGGGACAAACUGGUCUGAUGUUUAGGAACACAGAACGUUCAGAUGUUGGCGUUUCACGUCACCUACUGAGGAAGGAGACCCACCAGUAAAGAGACGGUCUGGACCAGACCAAAAAUAUGGCGAUGACAUCAUGGAACUGGUCUUUGGAAAAGUUUUCCCUGAACCAACUCCGUUUCUAGAUGAGGUAGAGAAGAUCUGCAUCUCACCAACUCUCUGGUCUCAGUAUUCAGACAACGGAGGUCUCCCACUGUUGUCCAGGACCAGUUUGAAGCCCACAUACUGCCCCUCCCUCAUCAUCAGGAAACAUCAAUCCGUAUCCUGAGGACAACAGAAGACGGCAGGAGGACAGGAACUCUGAGACCUAGACACCACCAGCACCGAGACACAAAGCACCUGUGUGCACAACGCCUGUUUUAACUACUAAAGCCUGUUUAUUAUAUUGUUCUACUUAUUUGCUGUGAGGUUAAUACUUAGAAAAAUUUGUAUAUUAAUGUAAACAAUAAAAAAAAUCACUGAUUGUAUGCUUUCUUUUAGAUGUAAUGAUCCAAACUCAGCCUUGUAGACAUUUAUUGCAUCCUGUAGGUAAAUACACAGAACAGGCUCAGGUCCAGGAUGACCCAGCAUGCUCUUCUUCCAUUCUGGCUGUUAGGGAUUGUAUCAAUAACUCAAUGCCUACUGAUGUUUUCACCUAACGGUAUUUAUUUAGAAUGCAGGUAAGAUUUAACUAUAUUUGUUAGCAAAGCAGACUGAUCUUGGGAAUUUCACUGCAGCACUGAUGUCCACCUCUCUGUACACAUUAGAGAGAAUUACCACUUUACAGCUAAACACAUUUAAUAAAGAUAUAGGCUACACAUUGCAGACAAUAAAAACAAAGUUGUAAGCAUUAGAAUUAUAAUGAUGACAUUAAAGAACACUUGGAGGAAUGUUCUUUAUUUUUGACUAGAAUCUCAAAUCUUUAAAUUAAAAUGUAACUGCUUUUUAUCCAUUUUCAGCCAUUAAGACACCCAAUAUAAAAUAAGACUACUUAUAAAAUUAUUUAUAAUUAUAUGUAUGUAUAUAGAUAGAGAUCUUAAUAAAAUAUAUUCUUUGAA